GAUGAAGAACGUAGCGAAAUGCGAUACUUGGUGUGAAUUGCAGAAUCCCGUGAACCAUCGAGUCUUUGAACGCAAGUUGCGCCCGAAGCCAUUAGGCCGAGGGCACGCCUGCCUGGGCGUCACACGUCGUUGCCCCCCCAUCUACUCCUUCGGGAUUGCGGGGGGCGGAUGAUGGCCUCUCGUGCGCCUCGUCGCGCGGUUGGCCUAAAUGCCAAGUCCUCGGCGACGCACGCCACGACAAUCGGUGGUUGCGAAACCUCGGUUGCCUGUCGUGUGCGGUCGUCGCGCAUCGAGGGCUCGAAAAAAUUGCCGGGCUUCGGCUCGACUUUCAACGCGACCCCAGGUCAGGCGGGGUUACCCGCUGAGUUUAAGCAUAUCAAUAAGCGGAGGA
rnacentral:misc_RNA from 1 species